ACCUUCGGGGGCUGAAUUUUGGGCGCAGGUGUGCCCGUGGCCUAUUUUUGGCACACGGAGGUCGCCCGCAAAGUCUGGGGCCAUUCCGAGUCCGGCGGACGAGCUUCGCCCACACCCCCCACCAAGGCUAUAGCCCACCCGUUUUUUGGCCAUUUUUCCGCUGGGGGGUCUUGGCGCCCCGACAUUCGGGGGCUGAAUUUUGGGCGCGGGUGUGCCCGUGGCCUAUUUUUGGCACACGGAGGCCGCCCGCAAAGUCUGGGGCCAUUCCGAGUCCGGCGGACGAACUUCGCCCACGCCCCCCACCAAGGCUAUAGCCCACCCGUUUUUUGGCCAUUUUUCCGCUGGGGGGUCUUGGCGCCCCGACCUUCGGGGGCUGAUUUUUGGGCGCGGGUGUGCCCGUGGCCUAUUUUUGGCACACGGAGGCCGCCCGCAAAGUCUGGGGCCAUUGCGAGUCCGGCGGACGAACUUCGCCCACGCCCCCCACCAAGGCUAUAGCCCACCCGUUUUUUGGCCAUUUUUCCGCUGGGGGGUCUUGGCGCCCCGACCUUCGGGGGCUGAUUUUUGGACGCGGGUGUGCCCGUGGCCUAUUUUUGGCACACGGAGGCCGCCCGCAAAGUCUGGGGCCAUUCCGAGUCCGGCGGACGAACUUCGCCCACGCCCCCCACCAAGGCUAUAGCCCACCCGUUUUUUGGCCAUUUUUCCGCUGGGGGGUCUUGGCGCCCCGACCUUCGGGGGCUGAAUUUUGGGCGCGGGUGUUGCCCGUGGCCUAUUUUUGGCACACGGAGGCCGCCCGCAAAGUCUGGGGCCAUUCCGAGUCCGGCGGACGAGCUUCGCCCACGCCCCCCACCAAGGCUAUAGCCCACCCGUUUUUUGGCCAUUUUUCCGCUGGGGGGUCUUGGCGCCCCGACCUUCGGGGGCUUAAUUUUGGGCGCGGGUGUGCCCGUGGCCUAUUUUUGGCACACGGAGGCCGCCCGCAAAGUCUGGGCCAUUCCGAGUCCGGCGGACGAACUUCGCCCACGUCCCCCACCAAGGCUAUAGCCCACCCAUUUUUUGGCCAUUUUUCCGCUGGGGGGUCUUGGCGCCCCGACCUUCGGGGGCUGAUUUUUGGGCGCGGGUGUGCCCGUGGCCUAUUUUUGGCACACGGAGGCCGCCCGCAAAGUCUAGGGCCAUUCCGAGUCCGGCGGACGAACUUCGCCCACGCCCCCCACCAAGGCUAUAGCCCACCCGUUUUUUGGCCAUUUUUCCGCUGGGGGGUCUUGGCGCCCCGACCUUCGGGGGCUGAUUUUUGGGCGCAGGUGUGCCCGUGGCCUAUUUUUGCCACACGGAGGCCGCCCGCAAAGUCUGGGGCCAUUCCGAGUCCGGCGGACGAGCUUCGCCCACGCCCCCCACCAAGGCUAUAGCCCACCCGUUUUUUGGCCAUUUUUCCGCUGGGGGGUCUUGGCGCCCCGACCUUCGGGGGCUGAUUUUUGGGCGCGGGUGUGCCCGUGGCCUAUUUUUGGCACACGGAGGCCGCCCGCAAAGUCUGGGGCCAUUCCGAGUCCGGCGGACGAGCUUCGCCCACGCCCCCCACCAAGGCUAUAGCCCACCCGUUUUUUGGCCAUUUUUCCGCUGGGGGGUCUUGGCGCCCCGACCUUCGGGGGCUGAUUUUUGGGCGCGGGUGUGCCCGUGGCCUAUUUUUGGCACACGGAGGCCGCCCGCAAAGUCUGGGGCCAUUCCGAGUCCGGCGGACGAACUUCGCCCACGCCCCCCACCAAGGCUAUAGCCCACCCGUUUUUUGGCCAUUUUUCCGCUGGGGGGUCUUGGCUCCCCGACCUUCGGGGGCUGAUUUUUGGGCGCGGGUGUGCCCGUGGCCUAUUUUUGGCACACGGAGGCCGCCCCCAAAGUCUGGGGCCAUUCCGAGUCCGGCGGACGAACUUCGCCCACGCCCCCCACCAAGGCUAUAGCCCACCCGUUUUUUGGCCAUUUUUCCGCUGGGGGGUCUUGGCGCCCCGACCUUCGGGGGCUGAUUUUUGGGCGCGGGUGUGCCCGUGGCCUAUUUUUGGCACACGGAGGCCGCCCUUAAAGUCUGGGGCCAUUGCGAGUCCGGCGGACGAACUUCGCCCACGCCCCCCACCAAGGCUAUAGCCCACCCGUUUUUUGGCCAUUUUUCCGCUGGCGGGUCUUGGCGCCCCGACCUUCGGGGGCUGAAUUUUGGGCGCGGGUGUGCCCGUGGCCUAUUUUUGGCACACGGAGGCCGCCCGCAAAGUCUGGGGCCCCAAGGCUAUAGCCCACCCGUUUUUUGGCCAUUUUUCCGCUGGGGGGUCUUGGCGCCCCGACCUUCGGGGGCUGAUUUUUGGGCGCGGGUGUGCCCGUGGCCUAUUUUUGGCACACGGAGGCCGCCCGCAAAGUCUGGGGCCAUUCCGAGUCCGGCGGACGAACUUCGCCCACGCCCCCCACCAAGGCUAUAGCCCACCCGUUUUUUGGCCAUUUUUCCGCUGGGGGGUCUUGGCGCCCCGACCUUCGGGGGCUGAAUUU
rnacentral:lncRNA from 1 species